ACGGAGGGUGCAAGCGUUAUUCGGAAUUACUGGGCGUAAAGGGCGUGCAGGCGGGAGAGCAAGUUUGAUGUGAAAGCCCGGGGCCUAAUCCCGGGAGGGAAUUGGAAACUGCUUUUCUUGAGUUCUGGAGAGGAAGGGAGAAUUCCCGGUGUAGAGGUGAAAUUCGGAGAGAUCGGGAGGAACAUCAGUGGCGAAGGCGCCCUUCGGGACAGCAACUGACGCUGAGACGCGAAAGCGUGGGGAGGAAACAG
rnacentral:rRNA from 1 species